GAUGAACGCUGGCGGCGUGCCUAAUACAUGCAAGUCGAGCGAACAGACGAGGAGCUUGCUCCUCUGAUGUUAGCGGCGGACGGGUGAGUAACACGUGGAUAACCUACCUAUAAGACUGGGAUAACUUCGGGAAACCGGAGCUAAUACCGGAUAAUAUAUUGAACCGCAUGGUUCAAUAGUGAAAGACGGUUUUGCUGUCACUUAUAGAUGGAUCCGCGCCGCAUUAGCUAGUUGGUAAGGUAACGGCUUACCAAGGCGACGAUGCGUAGCCGACCUGAGAGGGUGAUCGGCCACACUGGAACUGAGACACGGUCCAGACUCCUACGGGAGGCAGCAGUAGGGAAUCUUCCGCAAUGGGCGAAAGCCUGACGGAGCAACGCCGCGUGAGUGAUGAAGGUCUUCGGAUCGUAAAACUCUGUUAUUAGGGAGGAACAAAUGUGUAAGUAACUAUGCACGUCUUGACGGUACCUGAUCAGAAAGCCACGGCUAACUACGUG
rnacentral:rRNA from 1 species